rnacentral:rRNA from 1 species
UACGGGGGGGGCAAGCGUUGUUCGGAAUUACUGGGCGUAAAGGGCUCGUAGGCGGCCAACUAAGUCAAACGUGAAAUCCCUCAGCUUAACUGGGGAACUGCGUCCGAUACUGGAUGGCUUGGAUUUGGGAGAGGGAUGCGGAAUUCCAGGUGUAGCGGUGAAAUGCGUAGAUAUCUGGAGGAACACCGGUGGCGAAGGCGGCAUCCUGGACCAAUAUUGACGCUGAGGAGCGAAAGCCAGGGGAGCAAACGGG